AGGGCACCACCAGAUGUGGAGCUUGCGGCUUAAUUUGACUCAACACGGGAAAACUUACCCGGCCCGGACACUGGGAGGAUUGACAGAUUGAGAGCUCUUUCUUGAUUCAGUGGGUGGUGGUGCAUGGCCGUUCUUAGUUGGUGGAGCGAUUUGUCUGGUUAAUUCCGAUAACGAACGAGACUCUAGCCUACUAAAUAGACCGCCUACUUUUAAACGUCGGCGGGACUUCUUAGAGGGACAGGCGGUGAUUCAACCGCACGAAACAGAGCAAUAACAGGUCUGCGAUGCCCUUAGAUGUCCGGGGCCGCACGCGUGCUACACUGAAGUGAUCAGCAUGCAUUGGGUUCCUGCUCCGUCAGGAGUGGGUAACCCAUUGAACCUUCUUCGUGAUUGGGAUAGGAGAUUGUAAUUAUUCUCCUUGAACGAGGAAUAUCCAGUAAGCGCAAGUCAUAAGCUUGCGUUGAUUACGUCCCUGCCCUUUGUACACACCGCCCGUCGCUACUACCGAUUGAAUGAUUU
rnacentral:rRNA from 1 species